rnacentral:lncRNA from 1 species
UAUAUUUGCCCGUUAUAGAUCUUUCCUCUUUAGGAAACCCUUUGCUUCGAUCAACGGUUAUAGAACAAGUGCAUGUGGCAUGUAAGGAACUAGGUGCUUUUCAGGUACAUUACUUAUUAACAAACUAUACAUAUAGUUGCAUAAAAUCAGUUCAACUAUAAAACGAAGUUUUCCAAGAAAGUAAUUACUAGGCAGAGUAUUCUUUGUAUUGAAUAUAUUUAUUUCUUCACUUUUUUUUUUUUUUCCUUUUUUUUACUACGUGCAUGAGCAGACAUGUCGUCAACUUUUUUCUACGUCAUGCAUGCAUUUUUAACGUUACGAAAAUACGUACCACCUUAUGCAGGUGAUCAACCAUGGAAUUCCGAUCCCGAUUGUCGAUCAGGCACUAGAAGUUGCUGCGGAGUUUUUCGAUAUGCCGAACGAAAAAAAGAUGCGUAUUGCCUCUACUGAUGCUCGUGAGCCUGUAAGAUACGGGACCAGUCUGAAUUACAUCAAUGAUAAAGUUAAAUAUUGGAGAGACUUUAUCAAACACUACUCUAAUCCAAUCUCAAGAUGGAUCGAUUUGUGGCCGUCGGAUCCUCCAAGUUACAAGUAAUCAACUCACAAAGCUUCUCUUUUUUUUUUUAAAGUAAAACGGAGAAUAUUUAUUCUCGAAAUCUAAUGUAUUAUUUUUUGCAGGGAGAAAAUGGGGAACUACGCAAAGGCUGUGCAUAUCUUGCAUAAAGAGCUAAUGGAAGUAUUAUUCGAGAGCUUAGGUCUAAAACCAGACUACUUACAGAACGACAUCGAAGAAGGCUCACAGGUCAUGGCAGUAAACUUUUAUCCUGCUUGCCCAGAGCCGAAUCUAACACUAGGCCUUCCCCCACACUCGGAUUAUGGACUGUUAACCAUUUUACUCCAAAAUCAACGGGGCUUAGAAACUAUGGACAACGACGGAAAAUGGCAAUCCGUUCCUGUAAUAAAAGAAGGGUUGGUGGUUCAGUUGGGCGAUCAUAUGGAAGUACUGAGUAAUGGCCGAUACAAAAGUGUCGUACAUCGAGCAUGCCUUAACUCGGAAAAGAGGCGUCUUUCGAUUGCAAGUCUUCACAGUUUGGAAAUAGAGAAGAAAGUAAUACCUGCUCAAGAACUUGUCGAUGAGCAACAUCCGUUGGCCUAUGAAGGAGUGAGCUUCGGAGACUUUCUGCACUUCCUUUCCAAAAACGACAUCCUGGAAGGAAGAUACAUCGACACGUUGAGAAAAAAUCCACAGAUAGAUGCAUAAGAAUUUUGUUUUAUCGUUUUUGUUUCCUUCUGAAUUUACUAGUUACAACAUAUACACUGACGUGUAUGAAUAAAAAUCACUACAGUUUUGAAUGUUCUUUGAGUGUAAAGUAAAGCAUGUCUCGGAUAAAAAGACCUUUGUGUGAAUUGGUGAGAACCCGGUGAAUAUAAUUGAAACCCGUGCAAAUAUCAAGAAAGUGAACAUUGAAAUACAUGCAAAAUAUGGUAAUAGGUAGCAUUUAUUUACGGAAUUUUAUUUUAUCAUGUAGAUUAAACAUUACUCUUUGCUGGGAAAGCCACGAAGUUUCUAACCAUACGAAUCAUUUAAAAAAAUGGAACUCAGAACAUAUUGUUACGGAAUAAAGGAUCGAAAGAUAAGUCAUCUGUAUUUCAGUCUUUUCACUGCUUAUUUGCUUUUACAUGCAUUCUUUUUGCAAAAUACCGGAGAAAGUAAAGCUUUAGUUGUUAAAUGAGUACUUCUCGUAUUAGAACUUUCUUGGUCUCGACUGUUUUAAUAAAAAAAAUUGCAGUUACCAACCAUCAACGCUAGGUUCAAAAACGAAACAAUAGUUGAGAAGGAAAUAAAUGGAAUAUUCUUAUACAAAUAUAUCAAAAGAUUGCUGUGACUGAGCUACACACACCAUCUACAAUAGAUUUGUUUAUUUAAUUUUUUUUUAUAAAAGAGAGAGAGAGAGAGAGAGAGAGAGAGAGAGAGAGAGAGAGAGAGAGAGAGAGAGAGAGAGAGAGAGAGAGAGUAGUACGAAACCUGAGGCUCAAACUUGAAGACUGCAACCAAGUGACAUCCCUCUUAAUUCUCACUGAAACAAGGGGCGUGCAUUUUCAUUUCAGAUACUUUAUUCAAGAGAGAAAAUGUGCAAAACCGGUAUUUGCCUCUCCCAUUAAUAUAAGCUCGAGGCGGUUGAGGGGUGUACGUGGUGUGACGCACUUGAUUUGUUAACAAUUUGUCUUCUUCGGGAAGUAAAGCAAGAUGAACGCGCUGUUUGACUUUGAAUAUAAAUAAUAUCCAUUACUCUUAACCUUCCAACAGAAACAG